UUACGGUCAAAUCACGCUGAAAACACCGGUUCUCGUUCGAUCACCGAAGUUAAGCAUCGUAGAGCCAGGUCAGCCACACCUGGUACUGUAAGCCCCGGUUCUUCCGUUUAAUUAUCGUGGAAUUAGAUGGGGGACCGCUUGGGAACACCUGGUACUGUAAG